CUCUCUCUCUCUCUCUCUCUCCCCUGUUGUUUGCAUGUAGCAUGUAUGUCUGCUAAGGGCUUAGAAGAGAUUAGCGCUUUGGUUAACAUUGGAAAUUUGCCUAGCUCUCGUACGGCAGGCUACUGAUUAGCUUAAUGAGCAGAAAAGCAGACUGACCACAGUGAGGGAGAGAAUUUAUUUGAUGAAUGACAUUUUCUUAUCUUUAAAUAAGAUGAGAUAGAUUUGACUCUACAUGUAUACACAUGAUUCUAUGUUUUCUAUGUAGAUUUUCGUUACUGGUGAUUAGUUUAUUUUGUUAUCCGAAUUUGUUGAUUAAUUUAUCUAAUUUGUUCCUUUCAGAUGCCAACACAAUGAGAUUGUUUAGUAUUUCUCUAUUCUGAUACUUGUGCCCUUAUGGCUUAUGCCCUAGUUUUUUUAAUGGAGCUAACUUUAUAUUUUUUUUUAUAAUUUUAUCUUCUUUCUGAAACUAAAGAGAUUUGACCUGUUAUUUAUAGAUUCUUUUGGCCUGGGGCUUCGUUAUUUCACAUGUGCUGAUUCCAAAUGUGCAUAAUCUUGGAUUUUAAAAAUCUCCAUACACUGAAUUUGUAGUACAGAACUACAGAUUGUAUAAUAGUUCUUUUGAUUGCUUUAGACUCAUUAUGUGUUUAUAGUUCCACACUCUACCACUUCUAUGUACACAAUGAGUGUCCGUACAUAGUUGCUUGUAAUUACAAUGCAUGCCACAGAUUUAGGACUCGUGUGCAUACAAAGAUGGUGUUAGUUUAUGCCAAAGUAGGUGAUUAGGUAACAGAAUAUUGUUGAGUAUAGAAUUUAAGAUACACUAAGAAUGUACAUGGACUUUGCCUUAAUGCACAGUUGAAGUUUGAAGAACUUAGCAAUUGAAGUGAACGAGUUAAAAUGUAAGCCUGCACUGCUAUUUUCAGGCAGUUUGCUGGUUUGCAUGGGCUUUCCUUUACUUUUAUUAGCAUGUGUGGAAGUCUAGAUUUACUAGUAAUGAUCAGUCUCGAUCAUUAUGUUAUACUAUGUUUGGUUGUUGCUUUUACAUGGAGAUGACAAUCUAGCAAUUCGACAGAAGUUGAGUUAUUUUUUUCUUUGAAAGGAAGUUUCAAACCUCAUUCCCUAGCAAUCAUUCAUGCUCUUUUAGCAGGCCCCUUGAGGACCUAGGUGGAGAAUCAACCUUUUUGCUCCUCAUGCCAUCAGAUCUGUAGCAUGUUGACUUCAUUUCUCCAGCUUUGGCCAUCACAUAGAGUUGCAUAUCUGACACUGCUAGCAUUGCAAGCCAGUUGGUGUUACUCGGAGGGGGAGUUCUUACCAUUGACGAAGAAUUUGACCAAAACUUUUCCACUUGGAAGGUAUACUGUUUGGUUUGGUUUCUUACAACAUACUUCCCAUGCGACAACUUGGGACUAUGGUGGAGCGAAUGAAGCUGUAUGUUUCUGUCUCAUGUGUUUAGCUUCAACACAAGGAACCAAUUAUUAUUGAAAAAGUGACACUGUUUUGUGUUCAAAGUGAUUAGAAUAUACUGGUAUUGCUUUCCAAGAUAGAGCGGACUGCCCUCUCUUUCCAUGACCAGUUGAAUCAUUUACCAAUCAAUGUAUAUAGUGCAAAGUUUCUCUAAUGGUAUUUACGAUGGAAGAGUUGUCAAUCACUCAGAUUUGGAGCUUAUCCUGUGUAAUGAUGAGGAUUUUAAUUAUAGGUGAAUUACUAGUGGUUGCUUGGCAAUUCUAGGACCAUUAUUGCUUUGUUGUUUUCUAUGUAGUAUGUCGAGGCGCAAAUCUUUUGUCGAGAUUGAGGCCAUGAAAGCUAAUGACCUAAUGACAUUGGCUCUCUUUUUGAUUCCACAAACUACUUGGUGCUUGUGUAUUUUUGGAGCCAUCUUUUGGAGCUUGUGUAUUUUUGGAGCCAUCUCUUAAUUUUUUGGUGCUUGUGUAUUGCUUUGGUGUUUUUAGUGGUUAGUUAUGUAUGACAUAUCCAACCUGGAUGAAGAAAGUCAAAUUUUCAUUAAGGUCCUAUCCAUUAGUUGAUGAUAAGUUUGCAUAACCUAUCAGAAUGAGGUUGCAAGUGCGCUUCCAAAAGUUGUUGCAUGUAGACGGGCUUACUUAAUUCAUAUAGACUGAAAAUAUGCUUCAUGUUAUAGUGUGAGAAGAGGCGGUUCCUGUGCUGUCAUCUUGUUUCAGAUUGUGUGAUGCAUGCUUAUAUGGUUCUAGGUUUAUGUAAACCUAUCAUAUGGUAGUUCUCGAGUAAGUAUUUCUGGUUUUGUUUCUGUUAGAAUAGUUAGUCUUUGUCCCACAUCGGAUAGUUGGAGUUAUGUAACAAGUCACUAAGUAAUAUAAAUAAAAGCUCUCUCUUGUGUUAGGUUAAUUAACACCCUAAACACUUCUCUCUCAUUCUCUAAACAACAUGGUAUCAGAGCGGAAUCCUAACCCACCAUAGAUUCUAACCCUGGCCCAAAAAUCCUAUCCACCAUAUUUCAACCAAAGACUCAGAUCCAAACUCAGAUCCAGCCAUAACCCAGCCACCGUGACCCUCGCCAGCCACCAGCACCCCUCCGGCGACCCUCGCCAGCCUCCAGCGUACCUCCGGCAAUGCUUGUCUGCACCCCUAUGACCCUCGCCUGAACCUCAAACCCCUUACCUCGUUCCGACAAACCUCAAAACCUCAGAUCCAGCCCUCGCCCGGCCUCUGUGACCCUCGCCAGCCUCUGGCACACCUCCGGC